UGCUGAGUUGAAGGGAUCCUCCUGUCAGACAACCUCUCCAAAGUACAAUAGGACUAGGUUCCCACUACAAGGAUUAGAUUUGGCUACUGCAGUCCCGGUUUGGGCCAGCCUCACUUGUGAAGACUAAAGAUGAAGACAACAUACUAGAACAAUUUCGAGGAUGGCGACACACUUUUUAUUCCACCUAUAUAUCCCCUUUUAUGUG